UGGGGAAUAUUGCACAAUGGGCGGAAGUUGAUGCGGGGACGCCCUCGGGGGAGGAAGGCCUUCGGGUUGUAAACUCCUUUCGACAGGGACGAAGCUUUUGUGACGGUACCUGUAUAAGAAGCACCGGCUAACUACGUGCCAGCGGCCGCGGUAAUACGUAGGUGGCAAGCGUUAUCCGGAAUUAUUGGGCGUAAAGCGGGCGUAGCCGUUUUUUAAGCCUGAGGUGAAAGCCCACGGNUAACCGUGGNGGGCCAUUGGAAACUGNAAANUUGGAGGGCAGAAAAAGAAAGGGGGAAUUUCCAUGUGUAGGGGUGAAAAUGCGCAGAAGAUAUGGGGGGAACCCCAGGGGCGAAGGCGACUUUUCUGGGCCUGUAACUGACGCCUGAAGGGGCGAAAGCGGGGGGGUUCAAAACAGGGAUUAGAUUACCCUGGUAGUCCNCGGCGNAAACCAAUGAGGGCCAAAGGGUUAAGGGGNUUCCNGCCCCUUUAGUGCUGCNGCUAAACGCCGUAAAGGCACUUCCGCCUGGGGGGGUACGACCCNCAAGGUUGGA
rnacentral:rRNA from 1 species